rnacentral:misc_RNA from 1 species
UAUUAAUAUAGGUUUCCUAAUUAGAGCAGAAUUCCUAAUAUGUAGAAUUCCUAAUUAGUGUAGGAUAAUUUUGUAUAUAAAUACCAAUGCAUUUACUCAAUUAAAAUAAAUGAAAAAGAUACCUUCAGUUACAUGGUAUCAGAGCAGUAGGGUAUUAGUUCCAAAUUAGAGAAAAGUCUUUUGUCCCCUGUUCUUCGAAGCCUCUGUGGUGUGAGGUUACCUAGUUAAGGUAACAUUGGAUCUCACCGCCCACCCAGGAAGGACGACAGACCGCGGCGACCCUACCCACAAAGUCCCGUGGCCGAAUCUGAAGUGCGUGACCCGAUACACCAAUUUUGUCCUUCGCCAUUAUCUCACUCGCUGGCACGUGGCAACGCGUCCCUGGCUUUUGCCUCUCCAGCCUUUUCUCCCGGUGUCGCCUUGACAUCCUGGGUUCAGCCAAGGCAUUUGCUGUUAGGUUUGGGCUACUCUUCAAGGUGUUUUAGAGUUUUUUGAAUCACUGUAUCUUCGGACAGUGAUCAAUUUCAGGUUCUGUUUCUGUAACUCUUUGGGUAUUUAUUGAGUUGAUUUGCCUUGCUAAAGGUUGGGCAGUAAUAUUGAGUUCUAGAGAUUGUAGGUAUUUGAUUUUGUGAAUUUAUUAAUUUCAUUCAAAUGGCAAACAAUAAAGCCAUUGUUUCUGAUGUGGUUCCACUUAUGACAAAAAUCAUGGAACACAACUUAAUGGUUCAAAUUACCUGGAGUGGAGUAAGACCGUCAGGG